rnacentral:rRNA from 1 species
UGCCUAUACAUGCAAGUCGAACGAGUUCUCGUUGAUGAUCGGUGCUUGCACCGAGAUUCAACAUGGAACGAGUGGCGGACGGGUGAGUAACACGUGGGUAACCUGCCCUUAAGUGGGGGAUAACAUUUGGAAACAGAUGCUAAUACCGCAUAGAUCCAAGAACCGCAUGGUUCUUGGCUGAAAGAUGGCGUAAGCUAUCGCUUUUGGAUGGACCCGCGGCGUAUUAGCUAGUUGGUGAGGUAAUGGCUCACCAAGGCGAUGAUACGUAGCCGAACUGAGAGGUUGAUCGGCCACAUUGGGACUGAGACACGGCCCAAACUCCUACGGGAGGCAGCAGUAGGGAAUCUUCCACAAUGGACGCAAGUCUGAUGGAGCAACGCCGCGUGAGUGAAGAAGGCUUUCGGGUCGUAAAACUCUGUUGUUGGAGAAGAAUGGUCGGCAGAGUAACUGUUGUCGGCGUGACGGUAUCCAACCAGAAAGCCACGGCUAACUACGUGCCAGCAGCCGCGGUAAUACGUAGGUGGCAAGCGUUAUCCGGAUUUAUUGGGCGUAAAGCGAGCGCAGGCGGUUUUUUAAGUCUGAUGUGAAAGCCCUCGGCUUAACCGAGGAAGCGCAUCGGAAACUGGGAAACUUGAGUGCAGAAGAGGACAGUGGAACUCCAUGUGUAGCGGUGAAAUGCGUAGAUAUAUGGAAGAACACCAGUGGCGAAGGCGGCUGUCUGGUCUGUAACUGACGCUGAGGCUCGAAAGCAUGGGUAGCGAACAGGAUUAGAUACCCUGGUAGUCCAUGCCGUAAACGAUGAAUGCUAGGUGUUGGAGGGUUUCCGCCCUUCAGUGCCGCAGCUAACGCAUUAAGCAUUCCGCCUGGGGAGUACGACCGCAAGGUUGAAACUCAAAGGAAUUGACGGGGGCCCGCACAAGCGGUCGAGCAUGUGGUUUAAUUCGAAGCAACGCGAAGAACCUUACCAGGUCUUGACAUCUUUUGAUCACCUGAGAGAUCAGGUUUCCCCUUCGGGGGCAAAAUGACAGGUGGUGCAUGGUUGUCGUCAGCUCGUGUCGUGAGAUGUUGGGUUAAGUCCCGCAACGAGCGCAACCCUUAUGACUAGUUGCCAGCAUUUAGUUGGGCACUCUAGUAAGACUGCCGGUGACAAACCGGAGGAAGGUGGGGAUGACGUCAAAUCAUCAUGCCCCUUAUGACCUGGGCUACACACGUGCUACAAUGGAUGGUACAACGAGUUGCGAGACCGCGAGGUCAAGCUAAUCUCUUAAAGCCAUUCUCAGUUCGGACUGUAGGCUGCAACUCGCCUACACGAAGUCGGAAUCGCUAGUAAUCGCGGAUCAGCACGCCGCGGUGAAUACGUUCCCGGGCCUUGUACACACCGCCCGUCACACCAUGAGAGUUUGUAACACCCGAAGCCGGUGGCGUAACCCUUUUAGGGAGCGAGCCGUCUAAAG